rnacentral:lncRNA from 1 species
AAAAAAAAUACAUAACAAAAGACUAACAUAAUAAUGAAUCUUGACUUUUUAGGUUGUGAGGAUAAUAAGUAAUUUAUAAUACUGUAGAAAUGAAUUUAUAUAAUUUUACUGAAUGGUCAUAAGGUAGCCGUUCAAUCAAUUAAGAACCCGGUAUCGAGUUUCACAAUUUAUUAGCUAAAAAGGGUCUGCCUAGGGGACUGCUGCUCACUAAAAUGUGAUGACAAAGUUGGAUAAAACUCUCCCCAUGAAGUUUUCCAGGCCACUCAGAAAUUACUGUCUGUGUUCAACGUGAAAAGAAAAACAUGCAGCUCCUGGUGACAGCUACUGGCCUACAAGCAAAUGAAGCUUAAAGCAAUGUGUUUCUUGGGGACACUGGCCAGUGUGGCCUCUGUCAUCAGGAUGGUGGUGUCACCUGCCUAUUGUCCUAGUCCCUGGUUCUGCAGCUUUUGCUGGGGCUUUGGGGAAGAGGAUGGCAGAGGAGGGCACAGUUCGGGCAGGGGGGGUCCCCAGAACUCCUUCCCUCUCUGACCCCUUCUUGCCUUUUCCAAAACAGACCCAUGGCACGGGGCAUUUAGAACAGCACACACAUCCUACAGAACACACUCAGUUAAUUCUCAGUUGUCCAGGGCUGUGUAGUCCAGUUAUGAUUUCAGGCACUGAUUGCCUUCCUCUCCCCGAUCUUUGGUUAGCUGAGAUGGCUCCUAGCAUUUCCGCACAUCAUGGCUGAGGAGAAAGUUGAAGCUCCACACCUUGUCUUGGGCUCAGGGCUCUCAGCAUUGAGGACCUUGGCAUCAGGACACAAAGCAGGGCCUGAUCUUAUGGGGCCUCAGAGGCCACAUUCGAGAUCUCAGACUUCAUCCCCGCUCCAAGGAGAAGUGGAAUUUAAGCGACAAGAGACCUGGACAGCUGCUUUCAGCAACGCUGAUUGCAUGUGAAGAAGGGGAUUGCACAAGCCCAACUGCCUGGGGAGGUUUCGUAAAGUUUGGAAUGUGAGGUCUGCGUAGCCAGGGCCUAGACACCCCUGCUGGGUUUUCUUACCCAUGGCAGUGAAGACAGUUCAUUGGAGGACGCAGCUGUAGUUUAGGAUGCCAGCCCCAAACCCUGGGAAAAACGCUCAGAUGUCCUGAAAUCAUUGCUAAUGUCCCAGCACGUGCUCAACUCCUGUUGCUGUCUUUGGGACUAAUGCUAUACAUAGAAAAGGCAUGUGCUAUCGUGGUGAAGGGUCAGGCUUUGAGAACAGAUAAGUCCUGGCUCAAAUCUUGUCUCCAACCUCCUAUUAUACUAUAGCAUACUAUAUGACACAACACUACACUACGCUAUGCUACACUACACCACUCUCUAUUGUACUAUCUAAUACUAUCCACCACACUACACCCCUAUUAUACUAUCUAUUAGCAUUCUAUUCUAUCCUUUGUUAUACUACCCAGCACUGUGCCUGGCACUUAGUAAGUACACAGAAAAAUGAGAGUUAUUCCCAUUAUUGAAUAAGUUUAGGAUGCCGUCUUGGAAAUCACUUGAAACGGCCAAAUCUGAGGUUCUGUGUGAGGCUGGACCUGAGAGGGAGGCGAGGAGAAGGAGAGAAGCGGGUAGCAUCCUUCAAAGCAGCUGAACCAGCCUGCUCCCCGGGCAGGGUGUGAGGGGCCAUGCCUAGAGGGGAGGGGGUGAAUCAGCUUGAUGUUCCUCAGGGAAGCUUCAAAGGUCCUGGAGCAGGGCCAGAGAACGGAAUGCAAAUGAUGUUGGUUUACUGAAUAAGCCAAACUCACCUGGCAAAUCUCCAUCUAGCAAAUCUCAAUCGGGUGCUUUCCUGCACCCCCUGUGAUUCUCUCUACCCUGGAUUCAUUCAGACGCUCAUUCUCCUAUACUCCCACUAUAUCUUAUACACAACUCCACAGUAGCAAGGAUAAUAAUGUUUUUUGAUCAUCUGCCAGCUCUUUGAUGGUGUGGACUGAAUCCUUUCACCUGUCUGUCCCCAGCACUGAUCAUAGCACUGAAUCCUUUCACCUGUCUGUCCCCAGCACUGAUCACAGCACCUAGGUGGGAGGAGCGCUCCGUAGAUGCUGGAAGAAGGAAGCUGUCACUCAUGAGCUUCUUUGCUUAUGUAGGAUCUUACGCACCACACCUUGUCUUGGGCUCAGGGCUCUCAGCAUUGAGGACCUCGGCCUUUCUUUCGGGUAUUUCCCAGAUGUGACACAUGCCCGGCAUGAAGGCAGCUAUGUGAGUUAACUAUCUCACAGUUUACUCUUUCCAGUUUCACAGGCUGCUCCUUCUUCCUAGUAGUUUUCU